UACGUAGGGUGCGAGCGUUAAUCGGAAUUACUGGGCGUAAAGCGUGCGCAGGCGGUUCGUUGUGUCGGUGGUGAAAUCCCCGGGCUUAACCUGGGAAUGGCCAUGGAAACUGGCGAACUGGAGUGUGGCAGAGGAAGGUGGAAUUCCACGUGUAGCGGUGAAAUGCGUAGAGAUGUGGAGGAACACCGAUGGCGAAGGCAGCCUUCUGGGCCAAUACUGACGCUCAUGCACGAAAGCGUGGGGAGCAAACAGG
rnacentral:rRNA from 1 species